GUUAAAAAGCUUCGUAGUUGGACUUCUGCAUGGAAGGAGCGGUCCACCCAUUGGGCGCGUACGGCUACCUUUGAUGCAUCUUUCUGAGGACGUGUUCUUCACUUAAUUGUGAGGGCGCAGGACUCAGGACAUUUACUUUGAGGAAAUGAGAGUGUUUCAAGCAGGCAAAUGCCUUGAAUACGUUAGCAUGGAAUAAUAGCAUCGGACCAUCGUCCAGCUGUUGGUGUCUGGGCGAAGGUAAAGGUGAAUAGGGAUUGUUGGGGGCAUUCGUAUUUAACUGUCAGAGGUGAAAUUCUUGGAUUUGUUGAAGACGGACCACUGCGAAAGCAUCUGCCAAAGAUGUUCUCAUUGAUCAAGAACGAAAGUUAGGUGAUCGAAGACGAUCAGAUACCGUCCUAGUCUUAACCAUAAACUAUGCCGACUGGAGAUAGGAAGCGUUUAUCUUACGACUCUUUCUGCAUCUUGAGAGAAAUCAAAGUCUUUGGGUUCCGGGGGGAGUAUGGUCGCAAGGCUGAAACUUAAAGGAAUUGACGGAAGGGCACCACCAGGAGUGGAGCCUGCGGCUUAAUUUGACUCAACACGGGGAAGCUUACCAGGUCCGGACAUAGGUAGGAUUGACAGACUGAGAGCUCUUUCUUGAUUCUAUGGGUGGUGGUGCAUGGCCGUUCUUAGUUGGUGGAGUGAUUUGUCUGGUUAAUUCCGUUAA
rnacentral:rRNA from 1 species